UACUUGGGUGUUCCUGAAUACUUUUAAUUCCCCAACUACUAAAAAAUCUCGUUACUAGGAGUUGGGUUAUGCAGCGAAACGGAUGAACAAUGGAUUAUAACUGCCAGAAAGUCGAGGGUCUCAUACUAGCAACAGCAUAAAGCCCUGCUUCUUAUUGGGAGCAAAAAAGCAGAUUCUCCUUCCACAGUCUCCUUUUGGAUUUUGCAACGGAGAACUCUGUGGAGCUGCUGGUUCACGUAAAAGAUCAGGAUCCCUCUCGUUGCCAGAGGACACAGAAGAGUAGGAAGCUUUUGUUUUCAGAAAGAAGGUCCUCAACCCCACCUCUUCGAAGGUGUUUCCCCGAAUUUCUCGAGGACAAAGAAUCUGGACUCCUUUGAGAGUAAAGUUUCCUUUCCACUCCCUGAAGAGCGGGGAAAACUUCCGUCUUUAGUCUCCUUCCGGUUAAACUGACAAGUAUCACAAUCCUUUCUCCCCUAUCUUCGGGCGGUUCCGGCUGGGAACAAUACCCUCAGGGUCAGGAGGACAGGAUCUGAGUGCAGGCCAGCCAAAAAGGUGGGAACAGAUGCUCCUUCCAACACCUAAAUGCUUUUUUAAACGGUCACCUGGAUGUGCAGCCAGGGCCAACUAUCCCUCAGCUCCUCCCUGUCACAGGUGCGCGCUGCCCACAGAUUGCCACGACUGGGGGGCUCCCUACCAGUCGCAGCCCACCCUCGCCUCAGGUCUUCUCUCGCGUCCCCGGGCGGCCGCCUGCGCUAACGACCACAUGAAAACGUCUCAGCACCCAACACCAUCUCUCUAUUUCAUCUCCAUCAGCGAUGGAGAGAACGGAUUUUGCCGCGGCUGGGCUGCACAGCAGCGCCGCGGUCCACAGCAGAGCCCGCGACCGCCAUCUUAGGCAGUUCCAGGAAGCGGCCAUUUCAGAGCGCACCGCUUAGCCGCGGCGGCGGCUCUGCUUCUCACCUUCACCGAGGCCUGAACAGGGUCAACAGCCAGUCGUCGUGGACUGGAGGGGGAGGGGAGAGAGGGAGGGGAAUGAAAAACAAAACAGAGAGGAAAGAAGGAUUCGGGGACAGGGUGAUGCUCUCAGCUCAGGGAUAUCGCCUAGGCCAUCUCCAUAGAGAUCCGAUUCGCGGCUGGCGCGGUCGCCGGUCUGAAGAUAAAUUUAGCACUCUAGAGCACCCGAACCCUACAAUCUUCACGAGCGACUCUGCCGCCGCCCAAUCAGCGCCAGAUUUGCGUCCCGCCACCAAUCCGCGCUGAGCAGCGGGGCGGGACCAAAGGAAAGGACCAAGCUCGGUUGAGGCGCGGCCCAGCCGCAGCCGCAGUCACAGCCUCAGCCGCAGCGGCCGUGCUACCUAGGUGAUAGCGGAGCGGCUGGGUAGGAAGCAAUUGUUCUCAAACUUCACUAGCCCCGUCGGCGCGGACGCUUGUCGAGAAUGCAGAUUCCUGGGUACUGCCAGAUACGAAUUGAGCAUACCACAAAAAAGUUCUCAUUUUGUGUCCUCCCAUCCCAUUCUCCUCACUAACCAAAGGCUAGGAAUUAUCUGUGAAUGUAGGACCACUGGAUUUGCAGUCUUCAUCUGACACUGUGGAGAGUUUCUAGGAAUGAAACAGAUAUAUGGCCUUGGGUCCCCUUUUUUUUUCUUUUUUUUUUUUUUAAUAGAGACGAGCAUCUCACUAUGUUGCCUAGGGUAGUCUUGAACUCCUGGCCUCAAGCAAUCCCCACCCGACUCCGCCUCUCGAAGUGAUGGGAUUACAGGCAUAAACCACCACGCCUGGCCAGAAGGUGCUUUAACACCAAAUCUGAAAAUUGUUCAGAAGAGAAACAUUGAGCAUGAACACCAUCUGUGCGAGUCAUUUACUUAUUGCCCCUCACCUCUAAAUCUACCUUCUGUACUCUUCUUCCCUGUAAUGAUGGGGCUAGUUGUCCUCAAACUGUUUCUCAGACUUCUUUUUAAGCUUGCUUCCUGUUCAGUUCUGCCAAUAGGGGUCACUAGAGAGAGACUGGGAGGCAGAAGGAGAGAAUAUGCUUCCUGUUUUUUCUGUUCUUGUUAAUGUUGCUUACAGGACCAGCAAUGCUUCUUCACCUAGAGACACUUCUCCCAGCAGUGGCAGUGCCACUUCAGCUUCUUUCAGCACUACUGGAAUCAGCCUCAGUGAUUCCCCCUGUACCCGCUCAGAGAUUAUCCACAGCAGCCAGAUGGUUCUACCUUCCACAAAGAUUGUGGUUGCAAUUCUGGGCUUCUAAGUUCUGGUUACUUCAUAUUUUUCCUUUUGUUCCUCCAGCCCUAGAGGUGGUAGCUGCUUUCUGAAGUUAUUAUUUCUAGAUGACUUUUGGUUUUUCAGCCUUUGUAUUUUGCUUUUCAGCCCUCUAAUGCCUGUAUAACCAAUUUCCCUGUAAUAAAU
rnacentral:lncRNA from 1 species